GAUGAACGCUGGCGGCGUGCCUAAUACAUGCAAGUCGAGCGAACGGACGAGAAGCUUGCUUCUCUGAUGUUAGCGGCGGACGGGUGAGUAACACGUGGAUAACCUACCUAUAAGACUGGGAUAACUUCGGGAAACCGGAGCUAAUACCGGAUAAUAUUUUGAACCGCAUGGUUCAAAAGUGAAAGACGGUCUUGCUGUCACUUAUAGAUGGAUCCGCGCUGCAUUAGCUAGUUGGUAAGGUAACGGCUUACCAAGGCAACGAUGCGUAGCCGACCUGAGAGGGGGAUCGGCCACAUUGGAACUGAGACACGGACCAGACUCCUACGGGAGGCAGCAGUAGGGAAUCUUCCGCAAUGGGCGAAAGCCUGACGGAGCAACGCCGCGUGAGUGAUGAAGGUCUUCGGAUCGUAAAACUCUGUUAUUAGGGAAGAACAUAUGUGUAAGUAACUGUGCACAUCUUGACGGUACCUAAUCAGAAAGCCACGGCUAACUACGUG
rnacentral:rRNA from 1 species